AGCGAACGCUGGCGGCAGGCCUAACACAUGCAAGUCGAACGAACCUUUCGGGGUUAGUGGCGGACGGGUGAGUAACACGUGGGAACGUGCCUUUAGGUUCGGAAUAACUCAGGGAAACUUGUGCUAAUACCGAAUGUGCCCUUCGGGGGAAAGAUUAAUCGCCUUUAGAGCGGCCCGCGUCUGAUUAGCUAGUUGGUUGAGGUAAUGGCUCACCAAGGCGACGAUCAGUAGCUGGUCUGAGAGGAUGAUCAGCCACAUUGGGACUGAGACACGGCCCAAACUCCUACGGGAGGCAGCAGUGGGGAAUCUUGCGCAAUGGGCGAAAGCCUGACGCAGCCAUGCCGCGUGAAUGAUGAAGGUCUUAGGAUUGUAAAAUUCUUUCACCGGGGACGAUAAGGACGGUACCCGGAGAAGAAGCCCCGGCGAACUUCGU
rnacentral:rRNA from 1 species